GUUGGAAUUGCUAGUAAUCGUGGAUCAGCAUGCCACGGUGAAUACGUUCCCGGGUCUUGUACACACCGCCCGUCACACCAUGGGAGCCGGUAAUACCCGAAGUCAGUAGUCUAACCGCAAGGAGGACGCUGCCGAAGGUAGGAUUGGCGACUGGGGUGAAGUCGUAACAAGGUAAC
rnacentral:rRNA from 1 species